rnacentral:rRNA from 1 species
CGAGCGGAAGGCCCUUCGGGGUACUCGAGCGGCGAACGGGUGAGUAACACGUGAGCAACCUGCCCCUGACUCUGGGAUAAGCCCGGGAAACUGGGUCUAAUACCGGAUAUGACCGGCUUUCGCAUGGGAUGCUGGUGGAAAGAUUUUUCGGUUGGGGAUGGGCUCGCGGCCUAUCAGCUUGUUGGUGGGGUAGUGGCCUACCAAGGCGACGACGGGUAGCCGGCCUGAGAGGGCGACCGGCCACACUGGGACUGAGACACGGCCCAGACUCCUACGGGAGGCAGCAGUGGGGAAUAUUGCGCAAUGGGCGAAAGCCUGACGCAGCGACGCCGCGUGGGGGAUGACGGCCUUCGGGUUGUAAACCUCUUUCAGCAGGGACGAAGUUGACGUGUACCUGCAGAAGAAGCGCCGGCUAACUACGUGCCAGCAGCCGCGGUAAUACGUAGGGCGCGAGCGUUGUCCGGAAUUAUUGGGCGUAAAGAGCUCGUAGGUGGCUGGUCGCGUCUGCCGUGAAAGCCCGCAGCUUAACUGCGGGUCUGCGGUGGAUACGGGCCGGCUAGAGGUAGGCAGGGGCAAGUGGAAUUCCUGGUGUAGCGGUGAAAUGCGCAGAUAUCAGGAGGAACACCGGUGGCGAAGGCGGCUUGCUGGGCCUUACCUGACGCUGAGGAGCGAAAGCGUGGGGAGCGAACAGGAUUAGAUACCCUGGUAGUCCACGCUGUAAACGUUGGGCGCUAGGUGUGGGGGUCUUCCACGAUCUCCGUGCCGGAGCUAACGCAUUAAGCGCCCCGCCUGGGGAGUAC